rnacentral:lncRNA from 1 species
UGGAGGCCGGAGACCGAGAGGACUUUCACCGACUGAAGGAUGUGUCGGUGCUGAAGCAGAGGGAGCUCGUCACCGAGCAAGCUCUGCACGACGCCGGCCUGAGUUCGGUUCUCCGUCUAGGUACAGUUCGGUCUGUCGGUCGUCUUUUGGUUUUUUCAUCCGUCUUCGGACUUGUGCUGAUCCUUUGUUGAAAUUGCAGGCAUGCCGCCGAGAGUAAGAUUGACAGAUGCCGACAUUUGGC